CCUACGGGGGGCUGCAGUGGGGAAUAUUGGACAAUGGGCGAAAGCCUGAUCCAGCCAUGCCGCGUGUGUGAAGAAGGCCUUCGGGUUGUAAAGCACUUUCAGUGGGGAAGAAAGCCUUGGGGCUAAUACCCUCGAGGAAGGACAUCACCCACAGAAGAAGCACCGGCUAACUCCGUGCCAGCAGCCGCGGUAAUACGGAGGGUGCGAGCGUUAAUCGGAAUUACUGGGCGUAAAGCGCGCGUAGGCGGUCUGAUAAGCCGGUUGUGAAAGCCCCGGGCUCAACCUGGGAACGGCAUCCGGAACUGUCAGGCUAGAGUGCAGGAGAGGAAGGUAGAAUUCCCGGUGUAGCGGUGAAAUGCGUAGAGAUCGGGAGGAAUACCAGUGGCGAAGGCGGCCUUCUGGACUGACACUGACGCUGAGGUGCGAAAGCGUGGGUAGCAAACAGGAUUAGAUACCCUAGUAGUC
rnacentral:rRNA from 1 species